UACGGAGGGUGCAAACGUUGUCCGGAAUCACUGGGCGUAAAGAGCAUGUAGGUGGUUUGGUAAGUGGGUGAUUAAAGACCGAUGCUUAACAUCGGGAAUGUUGCCUAUACUGCCUGACUUGAAGAUGACAGGGGUAAGCGGAACUUUAGGUGUAGGAGUGAAAUCCGUAGAUAUCUAAAGGAACACCGAUGGCGAAGGCAGCUUACUGGGUCUUCUUGACACUGAGAUGCGAAAGCGUGGGGAGCGAACGGG
rnacentral:rRNA from 1 species